GACGAACCGUGCGAACGUUGUUCGGAAUCACUGGGCUUAAAGGGCGCGUAGGCGGGCUGCCAAGUCCGGGGUGAAAUCCCCCCGCUCAACGGGGGAAUGGCCUUGGAUACUGGCGGCCUUGAGGAAGGUAGGGGCAGAUGGAACUCUCGGUGGAGCGGUGAAAUGCGUAGAUAUCGGGAGGAACGCCGGUGGCGAAAGCGAUCUGCUGGACCUUUUCUGACGCUGAGGCGCGAAAGCCAGGGGAGCAAACGGG
rnacentral:rRNA from 1 species